rnacentral:lncRNA from 1 species
GCAAUUUUCUAAGCCUGCGGAGCUCCUCAGGGCAGGAACCACGGCGUUCCUCCCACAUGUACUUGGCAUAAGGUGCAGCUUCAGAGCAGCAAGCCCAGCAGCAGGAGCCAAGGAUUCUUAACCAUUUGAAUUUAGGUACAUGUUGUCAUUCACUGUCUCAGAACGACAACUUAGUGACUAUGGAGAAAACGAUUCAAGUGCACCAAACCUCACCUGGAGGUGGGGGAGGGGUGGCAAGAGAAAAAUGAGCACUUCCUUUCUGAUUCCAACAUGGAAAAAGUGGGGAAAAUAGGGCUGGGCAGGGCUUGCAGAUCUCAGGCCGCUUACUGGGUGCGUAGUACACAGAUAAAUGUUAUUUCUGGCAACUGCUCCUCCAAUCUAUUUUUAAAGGCAUAAAUAUAAGGGGACCCACACUGUUCCUGUCUGGACCUCUCCCUGCCUGGAUCUCUCCACGCCUUUUUCAAAAUCAUCUUCUAGGAAACUUUGUAGCCAAAUUUUAGACUCCGACAUUGGUGGUGUUUGUAUCACAUUGCUCUCCGAAAAGGAAAAAAGAAACAAAAACCACUGACUCAACACUAUCAAAUGCCAAUCAGUUUCAAAACACACACGGACAAAAAUAUUAAUUUGCAUGAAGCUACAUAACACAUAAUCUUACUCUCACCUCUGAAAAUCAAAGUAGGUCAAAAAGUUCCUGCUGCCAGUAAGUGGAGUUGAUAAGUGUUUUUUAAAAGCUAAAAUAAUAAGCAGCUAAAGCAUAAUUCAGCACUGUUCAACUACAGCCCACCAAUGAAAUGCUGAGGAAACAACCCUGGGACCACACAACUACGUAAGCAGAUGAGCGCCUCACUACUUGCUGGGAGAGAUCCUUACUCACUUCAGUCUUGUAUCCCAAAACCCAUUCAAAUACUGACUUUGAUGAUUCUGCUGCCUUCAGAUUAUGCUGUCCUGCACUGCACUGUUGCAAGCAUAAGGAAUCAAUCUACCAAGGUGGAAAAAAUAUUUCCAAGAUACAAAAAUAUAAUGUUUGUUACUUCAAGAUACAGCAGUAUCUUAGUCUGUUAGUCUGGUUUUGAAGCCAAGAAUGUUAAUAUGUUGCUUGCUAUUUCCUACCACACUGAGUCAGUUCAUGGCUGUGUAUGCAUUCACAAAGUGUUUCAAAGCUGUUCUCCAUGCUUCUUAGUACGUGCUUUCUUGAGAUGAAACCUCUUUUUAAAGGGAAAUCUCUCAGAACACAACCGAGCACCUGACUCUGCACUGCUGCAAUCAGAUAGUUGCCUUAAUAUUUAC